rnacentral:rRNA from 1 species
UGCAAGUCGUACGAUGAACCACUUCGGUGGGGAUUAGUGGCGAACGGGUGAGUAACACGUGGGCAAUCUGCCCUUCACUCUGGGACAAGCCCUGGAAACGGGGUCUAAUACCGGAUACGACCUGCCGAGGCAUCUCGGCGGGUGGAAAGCUCCGGCGGUGAAGGAUGAGCCCGCGGCCUAUCAGCUAGUUGGUGAGGUAACGGCUCACCAAGGCGACGACGGGUAGCCGGCCUGAGAGGGCGACCGGCCACACUGGGACUGAGACACGGCCCAGACUCCUACGGGAGGCAGCAGUGGGGAAUAUUGCACAAUGGGCGAAAGCCUGAUGCAGCGACGCCGCGUGAGGGAUGACGGCCUUCGGGUUGUAAACCUCUUUCAGCAGGGAAGAAGCGAAAGUGACGGUACCUGCAGAAGAAGCGCCGGCUAACUACGUGCCAGCAGCCGCGGUAAUACGUAGGGCGCAAGCGUUGUCCGGAAUUAUUGGGCGUAAAGAGCUCGUAGGCGGCUUGUCACGUCGGUUGUGAAAGCCCGGGGCUUAACCCCGGGUCUGCAGUCGAUACGGGCAGGCUAGAGUUCGGUAGGGGAGAUCGGAAUUCCUGGUGUAGCGGUGAAAUGCGCAGAUAUCAGGAGGAACACCGGUGGCGAAGGCGGAUCUCUGGGCCGAUACUGACGCUGAGGAGCGAAAGCGUGGGGGAGCGAACAGGAUUAGAUACCCUGGUAGUCCACGCCGUAAACGGUGGGCACUAGGUGUGGGCAACAUUCCACGUUGUCCGUGCCGCAGCUAACGCA